rnacentral:lncRNA from 1 species
AAAAAAGAAGAGUGACUUCAAGACUAAUUCGGGGGAUCAAGUACCUUAUUGUGCCAUGAUAUUUAUCAAAAUAUUAACAAAACUGCAGAGAAUCAAAUAGUUUUUAAUCGAGAGAACGAGACUGUUUGUUCAUCGAGCAAAACUUGGCAUUGGUUUAAUGCCACCGCACAAGUUCCUUUGAAACAAGUGCGCUACCUAAGUUCUCUACAAACUGAAUGUCCUAGAGGUGACAGUUGGCAGUGCAUUUGUGAGUUCAGCAGACUAGAACUACUUAAAGAUAAAAUGCCAACAUUUGCCGUAAGUGUCGACUGCAGUAAUAUGCAGCUG